UUCUGCCACUGCUGCUUUACAUUAUGGGCUUUACUGACAUUUCGCGUCGAGAUGCUCCGCUGGUGAGCGAGCGGCGCUGCCAUAAAUCUCGGUGCUAAUGGGAUGUUGUGUGAGGGAACUUCAUCACCAAAGCGAUGCGGAUUGAGCAGGUUUGGCUGGUGGAAGCUGUGGGAAACAAGGAUAAACUCGGUAAAUCCACUCGUGUUGAACACGGUUUGUGCUGAGACAUUGUGUGAGCAUUUACAACUAAGCUUAACUAAGGCAAAGUAUUGCCCUGGGCAGCCAGCCUCCAACAAAUACUUGUUCGAGAAAGAUGUAAAAGUCACCAGUGAUUCAUUCGUCCUAGUUUUAUAAAGGUUAAGGAGUGGGCGCUCUUGGAAAUCUAAGAAACGUCUUCCACUGCAGUGAAUUACUGUAAGCAAUUGGACGGUCAGGAGCAAGAAAAAACGAUGCAGAAAACAGGAGGGGGGUGAGAAAUAUAUUGCUAAAUUUGGUUUAUGUGGUAUUUAAAGCAUGAGGAAAGCCAUUUCAGGCAUUGUAAGGCUCCCAUGCUUGAGAAGGAAUUUGCUGCAUGACAGAAAGCUUGUGGAGUGGUUUCAGCAUUGGUGUGAUGUCGUGUGGUAGCAAAAUUACCCUGACCCUCCUCAGUAAGUGGACCACUGCUAUGUGACUCAUUGCAUGGCGGCGAGUCAAAACAGAAGAUUGAAAGAGCGUUCCAGGAGAAGCAGCUUUGCACUGUGAAUUCCCUCUUCCUUCAGAUGUCUGAAUCAAAGCCUUCACAGACUGAGCUCAGCUCACUUGCCAGGCCGCCCUUGGGGUGGUUGUUGGAAGCUGGAAGCCCCAUGAGCUUGAUUCUAGACCUCCUGUGUGGCAGCGUGGACUUGAAAGACAUUGAGCUGUGGAAAUCACUUGGUGCGGCAACUGGUAAGGGCUGUCAGAGGAGCGAGUGUUAACAGUUGGAAUACUGAGGGAUUUGAUCCCCAGAAGGAAAUAGCAAUAAUAAUUAAAAAAAUAAAACACCACAAAGUCUAUUAGGCUUUCAGACUAAGCAGCACAGUCAGCAUUGCAUUACACAGUGUUAAAUUAUUAGUCGAGGCUCAACAGCAGGAACAUCUGCUGGUGUUAGACAUGGCAUUUUUAAUUAAAGGCAGCAGCCGCCUGUGGUUCAUCAGUUCUGCUCUCGCCAUGUGAAUUGCUAAACCCAGAGCUGGCUGGAGCAGGUGCUGUGGAGCUGGUGCUGCAGAAGGUUGAAGUAAAAAUAUCCAGAUGUCCAUUUCCCAAAUAUCAGCAGCACCUGAUUCCUGCUUGGGACUAACCCAACAUCGGGUACCACUGUGCUGAAGGAUAAUGGGGCCGUGAGCUGCCAGCUGUCAUCAGACCCUGCACACCCAUCCCACCCUGUGAGAAAGCACCGUGGGCACCACUCAUGCCGCUGCACCAAGUUCAUGGGUGACUGCAAGUCCCGUAUUGUGCCCAGCCUGAACCAUGGGAAAGCUCUGGGUUCAAAGCUUCCCUGGGAAAACCAAGGAGCAAACGCCCCAGUGUGCAUCUGUGUGCUUGCAGCCGUGGUUAUGUCCUUUCGGCACCUGGGAUUCCUGCCAUCACUGCAAUAUGAGCUCUGUCUGAAAUGGCAUCCUCGGCCGUGCUGCCUCCACUGCCCUAUGAUAGGUAUGUGUACACAGGCUAAUGUGCAUCCCCAAACCUCCCUGAAUGUGUUCAUUGCUGCAACCCCAUGGUAUUCCCCAAUCCUGCCACAUUUUUUGCAAAUCCCAGUUUAUAGCCCAGCCACGAGGAGGAGGCUGCUUUUAAACCAGCAAACCUCUGACUGACAACCAAGGGCUUUGUAACAAGCCUACCAGCUUUGCCUUUGCCAUCCACCCAUGCGUGGCAAAGAGCUGUUUCUGGGUUAAAAAAAAAAAGAACACAGAAGUUGCUUGCUGAGUCUAUAAUGAGGAUUCUCAAAUGCCGAAGACGUGGAGAGCAGGUUAAAGGAGCACAGCCUGGCUGCCCAGGAGAGGGAGGGAACGGGUGCAGCAACUCCAGCACAUUUGCAGAGUGUUAUUGCAGCACAAGGCAUCGCUCUGUGAGCAAAUGCUCUCUUCACACUGCUACGCUCCCUGGGGAAGCUUUCAUAAUUCCUAGGGAGGUUCUGAGGGCUAAUAAAGAAGUGAAUAAAGAAGUCAGCCCCAGCUAUUGGUCUCCUCCUCCCUCCCAGGGAGCCUCGAGCUGCCCUUGUUUGUCGGGUUGCUCAGGUGCAGCUCUGAUUUCCCCAGAUCCUGAAGCAGAAGCAAUUCAGCAGCACGGCAGCCUGCUUUAAGGCAGUGGAUGGUAACUGUUAAUCUGAUUAAGCUCAAGGUCUCCCAUUUUGCUCAUCUUACUGACCUGGAGAUAUUUAAAGAAACACUUGAGAAGGAGCAUGUGAAGGCAUGUGAAACACCUGCUUCUGGGCACCUGUCAGUAUUGUGCAGGAUAGCAUGAUUUGGUGCAAUCUGACAUCAUUUUGCAUUGAAGUGAGAUCCACAAGGUUUUAACAUACGGUGUGCACAACUGGCAAAGAGAAGCUUUGUGGGCUCUUUGACAGGAUUUUAGAGAGGAAUUACUAGGGAACAGGAAGAGGUCCUGCAGCCCAUUGCAAUCCAGGGCAGCCUGACUAUUGACUUGGACAGCUUUGGGGCUAAAGCUCUGAGCCUGCCCUGCCAGCUCUCAGCUGGGUCUGUCUGUUUGCUGGUGUUAUGCUCCAGAACAAGAGUGAAAAGGCAUUUUGGAUUCCCGUUCUUCAUGCAGAGAUGCCAGAGAGAGCUGAGAAACACACAGAGGUAUUCUUGUGUUUCUGGUAUCUCUUAAGAUUUGGAUUGAAAAUAUGCACUCCUUUUUUUUUUAAAUCAGUUUUCUCAACAAAAUGAACUCAAAUGCUUCAGUCUCCAGGUUCCUGGAAGCAGGGAACAUUCAGUCCAUGCAAGAAGGAAAACCCUCUGCCCUGUGGACGGUGAAAAUCUGUUCUCUUUCAGAAUCACUUGAACCUCAAUUGCUUUCCAGCUAUCACCUGUUAGAGAAAAUUGCUACUAAAAUGCUGAAAAUGUUGUCCUUGUUUUUCCUUUGCCCUGCUUCUAUGGCUGGCAAAGGAUAGAUGAGGCAAUCCUUUGGGGUUAGGGUACCCAGCUCAAGUGAGGGAUCUGCUGCAGCUUUCCAGCUCCCACUGCAGCCACCCAGCAAAGAGGGGCUCCCUGGGAAGCACAGGCUGGUGCCUGCUGUGGUUCAUGGAGCAUCUGGGCAAAAAAGCACGGCCUCCCACUGCUGGGUCCUGCUGGUUCAGGAGAAACCUCUCUGUUGGGAGCAAUGUUUGUAAAGGGAGCAACUCUGCAAAGGUAUUAUUUUCUUCAAUUAAAGAACAGACUUCAGUAAGGUGCUAGGAAGAGGUUCUGUUUAACUACAUCUUAAUCUGGGUAUCGCUAGACCUGCCUGCUCUGGCUCCUGGUUUCUCCAUACUUUUAAAUGACAAGCACUGGUUUAUACUAAAGCACCACCAGUCAUUGCUGCCUAGAAAUCUUCAGCAGUCCUCAUGGAUAUGGGUCACCAGGCAGACAGCAGCUCUGCGCUCAAGGUCCUCUCUGCGUAGGUCGAUGAAACACCACGGGUGUAAUUAAAGAUGCUCUGCUAAUUGGAUGUGCAGCCCUGAGGGAUCUGCUUUAAUUGGAUUUCAGUCUUCUUGGUAUCGUUUUAACUUCAGUACAUGGCUGUUUUGCACAGGAAUAAACCACCAGGUGUGGAUAAGGAGGAAGCGUGCCAUCCUGCACUGCACACCCCUCCGUUUUGCUCUGGCUGUGAAACCACAGCUGCACAAUAAAGCCCAGGGCUGUGUGAAACCCCUCAGCUGGCAACUAGGACAGACAUAGUGGAGGGGCUGGGAGUUCACCUUGACCUGCUAAUGGAGGUAAAAGCCUCAAUUAUUACCCUGUCUUCACUUGGAUUUUUUCUUGUGUGUGGUACCAUAAAUCCUCCUUCAUGCCCUGAAGGUGCACUCCUUGCUUUCUUCCGAGUCAGAGAAGAGCUCAUCUCUUUCUAAAAGAUGUUUCCUUUCUAUCCAAAUGCUUGUUUUAGUGACAGAGCCACUGCUUGGCAUUCAGGAGCCUGUGUUAAACUGGAGGCUGGGGUGGAUGAUCAGAUUGUUGCUUUGGGCCUUAAAAGCUGGGGGAGCACCACCACUGAUUUCUCUUAUUUCCCUGCACAAAGCCUUCAGAAUUGCUCUUCCUGGUGAUGACCCAUUUCCAAAAGCCUUUUAAACCAGCAGUCAGAAAUGAAGUGGGAGCUGCAUCCCUGGAACCCAGCACAAUGGAGAGGCUUCAAGUUUUGCUCCCUGGGCUGCAAGCAUCAGCCACAGCUUUUCUUCAUCCUGGGCUGCAUGUGGCCACUGCUCCAUCCUCCCAUUUUGCCACAUACUGGCUUUCAGGUGCCAUUGUACUCAGAGGAUUGUACUCUGACACAGGACUGGUGUUCUCCUAAAAACAAUACCCCUUUGGGGUGACCCAGGGCCUCCUGUGGCUCCCCCCGAGCCCCACAGAUCUGGGGGGGGCUCAUUUUGGAUGAUGUGGCCCCUAAAGAGGCUGUCCCCAGCACUGCAGGGCUGCUCAUCCUCCCUCAUUACCAGCACUGCGUAUGCAAGCUGCGUGAGGAGCAAAGCCAACAGUAAGUUAGUGUUGGCCGUGUCCCAUACUAAUGUUGUUCUUACUAUUUCAGUGCCAUCUUCCUUAUUUCCUCCCUCUCCCUGAACAACUAAAUUAAUUAGAGUGAUUUUUUUUAUUUAAAUACUGUUGUGGAAUAAUAAUUCUGGCAAAUUCGUUUCUGUCAUUCCCCACUGCUCCUUUUCUCUGUUGCACUCCCCUCUAAUAUGCUGUAGAUAUUUUGUUAUAGCUAUGCAA